CAGCUAAGGUACAGAGAAGACAACAUUGCCUGGGCUUUCAGAGGACGCAUAUCUAGGAGCAUCACAAGGUUAUAGUGAGGACAUUUUUCUUGAUAUGCCGCUGUAAAUAUACUUCAGAAAUCAUGAAUGGGGAAAGUCAGCAAAGACGUUACUCCAAAAGCUUGGUCCUGGAGGAUUCAAAAAGAGGAGUUGUCAUCACUGGAAUCACAGACCCUAGUGUCACUGAUAAGAUUGGCUUAA